UACAGAGGGUGCAAGCGUUAAUCGGAAUUACUGGGCGUAAAGCGUGCGUAGUCGGUUAUCUAAGUCGGGUGUGAAAGCCCCGGGCUCAACCUGGGAAUUGCAUUCGAGACUGAAUAGCUAGGGUGCGGAAGAGGGAAGCGGAAUUUCCGGUGUAGCGGUGGAAAUGCGUAGAUAUCGGAAGGAACAUCAGUGGCGAAAGCGACUUCCUGGACCAAUACUGACGCUCAUGUGCGAAAGCGUGGGGAGCAACAGGAUAGAUACC
rnacentral:rRNA from 1 species